rnacentral:lncRNA from 1 species
UGGGUGGGCUGGCAUUUCCUUUCCUCCGGAAGAACUUACUGACUGAGGAGUCACGUGAUGCCUACGGCACUGGGAUCACACUCCACACGUGUCAGGCAGGAGCCAGCAUGGCUGGAGGCUCUUUGGGCUCCUGCUAACGCGUGCCUUGACCAGCCUUUAGAACCCUGCAUUUUGGGCUGUGGCUAUGCUCAACCUACCUCUUCAUAUUUUGUGUCUCUUAUUCCCCCACAGUUGCUCACUCUGGGAAAUUGCCCAGCUUUCCUCAUUGUCAGAAGACUACGACGCUACUUUCCAUAGCUCGCUUCUCUACCUAGAGUCCAAGGACCACAUAAAGGAAGUUUAGUUUUAAAAUGAUCUCUUUUUGUAUAUUAUCGAGCCAUAGAACCGUUAGGUAUAUUCUUAAGCAACAACAACAAAACGAAACAAAACCAGACAAACAAACAAAGCCCAGGAAGCAAGAAUUUGUAGAUCAUAAGAUCUAUGACUAUGCCUUUGCCUUUCGCAUUGAUGGUUGUUGCCUCAUUCAUUUUAAUUAGCUUAGGGACUCAUUCGUCAGCCAUCAGGGAUGGACCAUACCAUCAACCAGGGUUUGCUGGACUGUCUUUUGAUGGGUAGGAGCCGUGUGAUAUUUUCAGGUCUCAGGGAUGAGAAAUGUUGGAGUCAGGUGCACCAGAGAUGGUAAAAGCAUCCCAGGGCUGGGGGCUGAGAUAGCUCAGUUAAGUGCUUGCUGUGAGAACAUUAGAGUCCAUUGCUCCACUAGGACCAAUGUAAAACGCUGGGCUUGGCAGUGUGCACCUGUAGUCCCAGGGCUGGGGAGGUAGAGACAGGAAGUCCCUAGAACUUAAUAUCCGGCAAGUCUAGCCUAAUGGGUAAGUACCAGGUUCAGUGACAGACCACGUCUGGAAAGAAAAAGUGUAGAGCGUUUGAGGAAGACAGCAUCAACCUCUGGCUUACACACACUCACAUACUCACAAACACACACACCAAAGUAAAGGGAGUUUUCACCUCUGCAUAGCCAGACAUUUCCCAGAUGUAUUUUAUAAUAAAUAGUAGUAUUUUGAAACAUCAUGAACUAGUGCUCUGUGGCUUUGUGUGUGUGUGUGUGUGUGUGUGUGUGUGUCAUAUGUGUACACACUGUGGCUCUGUGUGUGUGUUAUAAUUACAUCAAAGGAAAAACGAGCUCAAAUGGACCACUUGGAAAAUCAAACUUAACACCCUUAUGUGAAAUGGUGAGUUUGAACAAUGCAGGGCCUCCUGGGGAAGGAGAUGUUGUGGGAGCUGCUAGUUGGCACAGGUUUGUGGGAAGCAUUUAAGGGGUCUAGACACAGGGCCGUGGGGGAAGAAGACACGUAGGUUUUGCAGUAGCUCUCUAGGGUUCCCAGGCCAGAGCUGCACAGAUUCCCAUUCCUGACUCGUAUGCUUUCCGAAUGUCAACAUUUAUGCUAGAACUCGAACCCAGGACCAGGGUUAGGAACACAGCUCAGUGGUAGAGUACUUGCCUAGAAUGUGAGAGGCCCUGGGUUUAAUCAUCAACACCCCAGACCUAGGACUAGCUAACUCCAAAGCCCAUAGUCCAUUCUUUAGAUUCAGGAGCUUGAACCAGACAGUGUUAUUGAUAGAGAACCAUUUUCUAGGUUUUCAAGCAGU